ACCUGGGUAGCUCAGUUGGUUGAGCAUCCGACUUCAUUUCAGGUCAUGAUCUCGUGUUUGGUGGGUUCGAACCCCACAUCAGGGG
rnacentral:tRNA from 1 species